GCAUAUCAAUAAGCGGAGGAAAAGAAACUAACAAGGAUUCCCCUAGUAACGGCGAGUGAAGCGGGAAGAGCUCAAUCUUAAAAUCUCCAUGUUCUUGAUUGAAUAUGGCGAAUUGUAGUCUAUAGAAGCUGUUGUCAGCAAUGUUGUGUGGGUCAAGUUCCUUGGAAGAGGACAGCAUAGAGGGUGAUACUCCCGUCUUUACCUGUAUAACGUUGCGUACGAUACGCUUUCUUUGAGUCGAGUUGCUUGGGAAUGCAGCUCAAAGUAGGUGGUAAAUUCCAUCUAAAGCUAAAUAUAGGUGCGAGACCGAUAGCGAACAAGUACCGUGAGGGAAAGAUGAAAAGAACUUUGAAAAGAGAGUUAAAGAGUACCUGAAACUGCUGAAAGGGAAUCGAAUCGUUUCCAGUGUAUAAUCUUGUACAUAUUUCAUUGAUGAAUAAAGAUAUGUGUAUGUUAUGAUAUUGGUUUAUCCUCAUCUGAUGUACAUGUUGUUUUAAUUUGUUGGUGCCCUGUGUAUGAGUGUGAUGUCAAAGUCAGUUUGUAUUCCGUGGGAAAUGGUCAUGAAGGAGGUAGCUAUGAUUUUCGGAUGAUAGUGUUAUAUCUUCAUGUCUAGUAGUCAUGGAAGAAGACUGAGGAACUUGAACACAACAAGCACUAUAGUAUAUAUGGGAUUUUAUGUUUGCUAAUGUUUUGACAGCUUGCUGUGAUGAUGUUAUUUGAGUAUAAAGUGACUGUAUAGCUAUCGCUGUUCGGGACUUUGACAAAAUGGAACGAUUUGUCCCGUCUUGAAACACGGACC
rnacentral:rRNA from 1 species